AGAAGGUAAUGUAAUGACUUGUCCCUUCCCCAAAGCAGCAAAGAGCAACUAGAAAAAAAGCAGGACCAAGAUUUUCAGUGCUUACAUCAGAAUUAACAGAAAAGAAACUAAAUAUGUGUAGAUAAAUAUGUAUGUACAUAUAAACAGAUAAACUAGUGUCCAGGAUAAUAAUUGAACAACAAUCAGUAAUAGAACCAGCAGGUUUAUUUCUGAAAGACCUGUUUAAUUAUUCCUUUUCACUUUAUAAGCUCUUCUUAAUUAUUUUUUUAAAGCAUUUCAAUUAUAAAUGCAGAACGUAUUUUUAUGUGUGGUAGAGGGAAAAGGACCAGGAAAACUCAUCAUAAUCCAUUAUUAAACGUUCAGAUGUGAAAAAGAGCAGUAGGAAGAAUGCAGCUGCUGUGCACUUGGCUUGCUUCUACAAAGAUGUGCAGCAGAGGGCACCACAGAUGGCACACAGGAGAGAGAUGCUUUGAAGCUGUUCGGCUCUGCUCCGUAAUUACACAGCUCUGAUAAAAGAGGUAUGAUUGGUAAGUAAACGUUUGCUUUAUAAGACAGCCUGUUACCAGAAAUUCCCUUAAGACUGCCUAUUUUUUAUAAACGUGCUCUUAUCAGAACACUUGUGAAGGGAGCUCUGCUGUGAAAUAGUCUAUAUGAGAUGUCUGAUGCCGACUUCCAAGAAUGUUCUGUAACUGCAGAGGAAGAGCCUGUCUGGAUCAGAAACUAUUGUAGUCAUUACAUGCUACAGAUAAAAGAGCAACACAGAGCAAAAAUGUGCAUGUAUCUUAGUGCCAAGAUACUAAGUUGCUUGAUACUGACUUUUCCUACAUAAAUCACUGCAUCAGUAGGAUAAAUAAACUUAUGUUAUUUCCUUUUCUUUGUUGCAUGCCUUAUCAAAAGAUGCUUUCUCCUUUUAUGUGCAGUCAGUCUCCUACAUUCAAUUUACAUGAUUGCAGUGGUCUGUAUUUCUCACCAAAAAGUCUGUCCUUACCCCGUUUAGUGGACUGGCUGGCAGAUCAGUGGAUCUGAUAGGUUUACUUUGAGUUAACAUCAAAUAGCAUGGGAAAUCCAGUAUCUUGCACACACCUAAAACAAAGACAAACUUCUCCAAACUGUAGUGAUUCAGGGCAAGCAGAAGUGUUUGGAACAUUGAGGAGUGUUAAGGAGAUAGAUAGAAGCUUAAACACUAAAGCAAGAACAGGAAAAACAAAAUCCCCACCGGCCAUUUAAGAGCUUGCUGGGAGUACGCCUACUACGUUCCAGCAAGCUUCAGUCUCUUGCUGCCUCCCUUGGCUACGGUGUGGACAAUUGCUGGAAGGACAGACAUUUUGUGAGCCAGCAGAUUUUACUGUGCAAAGUUAGGAUGCAACAGGAGCCAGAUCUAUCACCUGCCAGCUACACUAACAGUUACUGAUCUUUUCCUAAGGAGCAAAGCCUGAAGGAAAAAGGGAAAAGAAAGGGAGAUGAAUAGUCAUUCUCUGCUAGCAGCUAACAACCUCAAAUGGGAUAGCCCCUUCCAACUGAUAUGUUUGGGUUUUGAAGAAAAAAGAAGGAAAAGAGGAAGAACUUAGAUGUUUUCAGUUCACCUGACUAUGGAGGGAGAAACACCUGCAGCAAUCUGUUCUGCAGAGAACCAAACCACCAUGCAAGCAAGUGGGGUUUUUUGUUACCUUCUCUUCUUGUUGUUUUGUUUUUCAGAAGCAAAUUCUAGCAGGCCUUUCUUAAAAAGGAAAAGUGGUUUUCAUCUAACUUCUAUUACAGGGAUCCAACAUUUUCUUGUGCUUUUAGGAGCAAUAAUUUAUUUUAGGCAGCAGGGCAGUUAUCUGAGACAAAGAAACGCCAAGUGAACUAAAUAAAAGAAUGCCUUUUCCUAAUUCAGCAUAAAUGCCAUGAGAAGUUCAUUGGCAAUAAUUAAGCUGCAAAUAGAACUCUGUCUGAGCACUCAAAUAGACAAACCUUAUUUGCUGAGAAGUUUGAGCUUCACCAGUACUAUCAUAAGGAUAUUUCAAUCCUUCACCGGUCUGCAAACUGCCCUAAAAUAGACCAAGACUCCUGAAUAUUGAGGGAUUCUCUCUCUGGAAUCCAAAUCACUGCACCAUCUUCCCUGUUUUAAAACUGCUGCAAGGAUGUAACUGCAAACUGUAAAAAUAAAAGUAAAUUCAUUUAAGAGGAAAUCAGCUGCAGCAGCUUCAGGACUUGCAAAAGUUACACGAAAAUAAGAAUAGGAUUUUAUAAUGGGAACUUGGGCAUUCUACUGCUUUUAUUAUUCUUUUGAAGAGCAUGUUGGGAGGGAGUAUAAAGUGAGAAGAUAUUUUGAAACAUCCAGACCUCUGUGGAAGUGACUCAGCUGGAAAUAAAACACAAAGACUGCCUUGCUGCUGAAUAACCUACUGGUCUCUCACAUACAAGUAACAAAUAUAAACGUCAGACUCUUCAUCUGUUGCCUUCCGUAUCAAAAUCCCGGGAGUGCUGAGCUAUAAAAGAAUCAGGCAAAUAAACAGCACCGCCUUCUGCAUCGAGCACCUGUAUACUUCUAACAGAUUAAUACCUAAUAUUUACCUGUUACCACAUUCUCCACUGCUAGGAAUAACAUGAGAAUUUGGGCUGAAGUGUCUGUGUGUCAGGUAAAUACAUAACAAGUGCUGAAUGGUGAGAGGAAUGUGGGGGGCUGACAGCUCCCUCCACCCUCCUUGCAGCCCCCAGCAACAGCCACCCUUACUGUCUGACCAGUUGGGCUCUGACAAACCCACGGCCAACAGCGGUAGUUUUCAGGUAGCUAUGUAUCAUCCCAUAGAAGUAGGAAGUGCAUUUAAUGGAUUGAUUUGUAAACAUUUAUAUACUUGUAAAAUUCCAAAUCUGGUUUAACUGAACAUUGAAUAAACAUGUUAUUAGGAAAAAAUCUGAUGAUUAAAAAAACGUGUUAAAGGGAAAAUAUGUUGAAACAAACAAAUGAAAGACAUUUGUGUUAAAACGUAACUGGAAAGCAAGAAUGUCUUCUGUUCCAAUGUCGAUGUGACAGCAUGAACAUAAUGGUCAAUAGAACAUAUUCUUGGAAACAGCUGCACCAUUUCCUCCGGAUUAGGAAAAGGUAAAAUGUCUUGUUUAUUUUUUAUUCUCCUUUUGUUGGCAAAGCUGUCAAGAGCAUGAGAACUCAGGUGUGAUUUUGCUCCUUAAACCCAAAAUUGCCAGCUGCUGUACAUUAAAAAUACUCAUGCCAAAAUCUGUUCUUUCAUUUAUGUGAGAGCUGCACUGCUGCUGCCAUGGCCUCAGGUUUGUGCCAACAGGUAAAACUCAGGAUGGACUUCAGACCUUUGUUAUUAACUAUUUAAUAAUGCCUGGGGAAAGUGAAGUAAGAGGGUGACGUAGGAGCCUGUUCUGACACCGAGGACUGUGGGUCAUGUGAAUAAUGAGAAGGGUGGGGCAGGUGAUUAACACAGUCCUGCUUCAUUUUUGAAAGCCUAGAUUAACAUCAGCUCUAUGUCACUAUUCAAAAUGCAUUUGGAGAUUUUAAUUUCAGUUACUAAUGUUAAUUGGUCCGCACCACAAAAUGCCAGGGGCACCGUGAUGCAAUUUGGACAAAAAGCAACCUUUGCUUUGGAGGGUCCUGAGGUUCAGUACAGAAUAUGCCAAAUAUCCAACAGCAAAGAUGUGUUGGUUUACUGGGUUUUGUCAUUUGUUUUUUCACUGGAGGAGAGGUGAAAACACGAUUCAAACAUACACAGGAAUUGAACCAAAACAUGUCAUACGGGGUUGUCGUGUGAGCAGUUCUGGAUGCUGUAAGAUUCACUGGCCUUCACUGAAGGCUUCUCUGUACCUUCUUCUCAGAUACAUUCGUAGCCCUUUCACACCCUGUGUGAAGACUCUUUCUGUAUACAUAUUUGUAGACCAGUCUUUUCUCUCUACUCCAGCAAAGCUCAAAUGCUGCUGUAAGUCCUCUUCUAUAUUUGGGCAUGGAAGAAGGUAGGACAUUUUGCUUUGUUUUGCUUCGAUUCACUGCUGUUGGCAAUGAAAACCACAACCAUCCUGAGCCUGGUUUGGGGGAUCUUCUUCCAGGCUGCUUUAUGCCUUGUUUUGGGACUGGGCUCUGGGAAGUGCUGAGCCGAAAGAGCCGUGAGGACGUCCUGCAGCCAAAAAGGCAUCCAGCUCACUGUUAGAAGAAGGGCGCAGAGACAGAAGUUGCUCAGCCAUGGGAAGACCCGCCAUGCUCUCCCUCUCACUGGCCACGCCAUGGAUCUGUGCAGCAAUGGAGCACCUGAAUGCAGUAAUGGAGGAGAAAGAAGAAAGCACUGCCAUCCUUCUAUUUUGCCAAGAGGAGGAAAACAGCAUGGAGCCAUACGACGCAGAAAAAUGUCUGCAUGCUGAGAGCGGUGCUGCACACAGCUCGUGUCCUAUGCGUGAAUUUCGUUUGCAAAAGAACUGCCGGGAUUGUUCUGCAAAGAGCACCCACUCCUCCAGCCCGGCCCUCCCCGGGCGCUCUCACUGCUUCGCUUCCUCCUUCUGGCUGUGAAGUCUGAAAGGAGCUCACGGAGGAGCAACGGGAUCAGUGCUCCCCUCUCACCCUCUGCUGCAGAAGAAGAAAGAGGUUUGAUUAAGUCCUCUAAAAGUAUUAAGGCUGAAUCAGACCACAAAAAGGAAAACAAACAAACAAACAAACAAACCCGUGCUCUAUGCUCACAAAAAAUGUCACCUUCCUAACGGCUGCAGUCAAAUCCUUUAGAGCCGGUAUUUACAAUCAAAUGUAUUCAAAUAUCUCCGAGCCCUAACGCAGAUGACACCAAGAGGACCAUUUGCUAUAACUUAAACAAGUGCUCUGUAGUUCUCGGUUUAGCUCCUAAUGAAAACCGAAGGAAGGACCUACUGCCAGGGAUGCACACACACACACACACACACACACGCAUAUUUCAUCCAACCCACCGCUACCAGCCCCGGGUCGCACUGAUUAACACUUUUCACGUAAACACACUUUUUCUUCCUUGAAAUGUUAAUGCCUGCUUAGUGCAAGGUGAAAGUCUAUCCAAAGACCGAAUCCCUUAAGAGUGUUAAUUAAACAGGACAAUAAUAAUCCACCGGUGAUUUAUGGCGAGGUGGAUGACUAGACCAUAGUGGUUGGUCUGAUAGGCAUUUAUUGCCUACUUAACCAUUUAAGUAUAACAAAAAAAAUCAUUGUGGUACAAAAGGUGAUGAAUGUUGCUGCUAAAACAGUCCAUUAAGAUGAUUCAUUAACAUUACAAAGAGGUCUGCAGCCUCUGUGCCACUUGGAGCCCGUAAAAGUCUGGGAAAGUGAGAGACAUUACCAUAGGAAAUGCUUUAUGCUAAAUGCGCGCUGAUAGAAUCUAAAGUCCACUUUCUGCAGAUAACAUCACUUUUUACAUUUUGCACUACAAGGUCCGAGGAUGCUUUGUACUUCUUAUUUCUGCAGCUAGAGAAUGUAUCUUCCUAACAGAGCAGCGCGGGAGGAGAGGAGUAAUAAAAGUCACAAUGCUCUGGCACACAUCUGAGCCUUUCAUACUUCCCUUUGAACUGAUGUCACUGGAAUGCCGAACCGCUGGUUGCACCACUGCGGAGCGACCGAGAGCCAUGAGUUACAGUCACAGUGGUUACAACUUUAUUAAAUGCACACCAAGAAAAGCUACUACAAUGAUCUUCCCAGGUCAAAUAACAGCGGAUUCCUGCUGUGGGACAGCAAGGAGAUGUGCCACGGACGGAUGAUACAUGAAACAGUAUAAGGGUUAAAUAAGAGUGUAAAUGUAUCUAAAAAUACCAAAUUAUGAUCUCAGUACCUUCCUAACAAGUGAUUCCCAGUAACUAAUGAAGCCUGACUCCUUAUGGAUUUAUGCCACAUCUCUCACACCUCCCCAUCAGAACAACACCCACUGUCCCCUGCCAUAGCCGCGCUGUAAUAACGCCCCGGUGUCCCUUAGCCAGCCCCAGGCUUUUUGGAUUUGCCAGCUGAAGAAAACAGUGCAUUUGCUAAGGAGUGAUAGAGUGAUCUGCAAAUCAGAAUCAUUUGCUGCUGUCAGCCAUGAUGAAGAAUUGCUAAAUUCUGCCUUCUUCUCGAUGGGAGCAUUAAUAAGAACUCCCUCCUCUUGGUAGGUGCUAACUCUUGCAAAAUUGCUAAGGACACAGCACCUUUGAAACUCCUCUGCAACCUGUGACAAAUGUGUCAGCAUAUUGGAAACUGGGUCAGACAAAUAAGGAGAUUGUGUAAGCAGUUCCCCAGGGAGCCAGACGAAGAGGCAUGAUAGGAUCUCCACUGACCAGAAGUUGCUAGAGUCUUGUUUAUGUACUUCAUCUGAGGCGGAGCAUCCCCCAGUGCUUCCUCAAUUACAGGAAGUGUGUGCAGCACCUGUUCAGACUACCUGGGCUAGCUGCAAACAAGCUAGACUGGGUUCCAGGAGCACAGGACACUUGCUAACAAAUUCUGCUUCUCAGUAUGUAAUUAGCCUACUUUACUUCUCAGUAAAUGAAUUAGCACAGCUACACUACAUCCUGCAGAUGGCUUAUGUGGUUCUGAUGUCUCUGUGAGGCGUUUGUUUUCAUCUGCCCACACUUCAGUUGGUCAGAAGCGAAUGUUCAAAGAGAAAUACUACAGAUGCUGAAUCUGUACAUGGGAACAAAGCAGAGGCAGACACGGUAUCAAACAUAGCUAGCUCUAACACUUCCCAGUGAUUUAACUGCCUGGGAAUUGGG
ensembl:lncRNA